UAGGGAAUCCUCCACAAUGGACGCAAGUCUGAUGGAGCAACGCCGCGUGAGUGAAGAAGGCUUUCGGGUCGUAAAACUCUGUUAUUGAAGAAGAACGUGUGUGACAGUAACUGGUCAUGCAGUGACGGUAUUCAAUCAGAAAGUCACGGCUAACUACGUGCCAGCAGCCGCGGUAAUACGUAGGUGGCAAGCGUUGUCCGGAUUUAUUGGGCGUAAAGCGAGUGCAGGCGGUCUUUUAAGUCUGAUGUGAAAGCCUUCGGCUUAACCGAAGAAGGGCAUCGGAAACUGGGAGACUUGAGUGCAGAAGAGGAGAGUGGAACUCCAUGUGUAGCGGUGAAAUGCGUAGAUAUAUGGAAGAACACCAGUGGCGAAGGCGGCUCUCUGGUCUGUAACUGACGCUGAGGCUCGAAAGCGUGGGUAGCAAACAGGAUUAGAUACCC
rnacentral:rRNA from 1 species